CAGCCGCCGCGGGAAUACGAAGGGGGCCAGCGUUGUUCGGAAUUACUGGGCGUAAAGCGCACGCAGGCGGCUCGAUAAAUUAGAAGUGAAAGCCUUGGGCUUAACCUGAGAAUUGCCUUUAAGACUGCCGAGCUAGUAGGUGAGAGAGGUGAGUGGAAUUCCGAGUGUAGAGGUGAAAUUCGUAGAUAUUCGGAAGAACACCAGUGGCGAAGGCGGCUCACUGGCUCAUUCUAGACGCUGAGGUGCGAAAGCGUGGGGAGCAGACAGGAUUAGAGACCCCAGUAGUCCCUGUCUCUUAUAC
rnacentral:rRNA from 1 species